CUUUCCUUUCCUGGUUCUACAGUCUUUCAGUCUAAAGAGAACAGCAAUUAAUUAAUUGGAAGUGAAAAACGGACGAGGUGAUGACGGCCGCGGAUGCGACGACGUCGUAUUCACCGUCGACGACUGCAACGAUCCCGUCGAACCUCCCUCUCAUCUCUGCGUUCCUCGCCUGCGCUCUCGCUCAGUUCCUCAAGCUCUUCACCUCCUGGUACAAAGAAAGGAAAUGGGAUUCGAAGCGAAUGCUCGAUUCCGGCGGAAUGCCGUCGUCGCAUUCGGCCACGGUGACGGCUCUGGCGGUCGCCAUUGGCCUUCAAGAUGGCGCCGGAGGACCCGCUUUCGCCAUUGCUCUGGUCUUAGCAUGCAUUGUGAUGUAUGAUGCCUCCGGAGUGAGACUUCAUGCUGGUCGUCAAGCCGAGUUGCUGAACCAAAUUGUGUACGAGCUUCCUCCGGAGCAUCCUUUGUCCAGUGUUAGACCUCUGCGCGAUUCACUUGGACAUACUCCCUUGCAGUUAGCAAAUGCAAUACUCUUACUCUGUCAUGCUGGCUCCACUGGACAAAGCUAGAAUGUUAUUCAUCGACCAUUGUUACUAUGGAUCGACCACUUCAUUGUUAUCAUCAUGAAGUAAUUACAAGGUUUAGCUUCAGAGAAAUACAGGUUGUUGCUGGUGCCGUGCUGGGAUGCAUAGUGGCAUAUCUAAUGAGGAACACCAAAUAAGAUAUCUUAUGACUGAUACUUGAUUCUUUGAGCUUCAUACUGAUUAGCUAUUGACUGGAGGCCGUAGUUUUGGCAAGGGCAAGGGCAAGGGCAGAGAAAGAGCUGAUGUAGGAUGAGUUCCUAAUUGUUGAAAGCAUGUAAAGGCAUUUACAGAAUAGGGGCCUCCACCUAGAUGCUGGGGUGGGGGACUAUAUUUUUAUGACGGAUUUGAACAUUGUUGUUGUGUAUACAGAAGUUACCUUCACUAAAUAAAAGACACCCCUUUGUGAAACUCUUGAUGUUCCAGAUUGUUUUCUUCUCUUUACUGGCGUUUACUGUCAGUUUUUCUGUAA